rnacentral:rRNA from 1 species
GACGAACGCUGGCGGCGUGCCUAAUACAUGCAAGUCGAACGCAGUGGGGACGGGUGAGUAACACGUGGGUAACCUCCCAUCAGAGGGGAUAACACUUGGAAACAGGUGCUAAAACGAUACUGAUGGAUGGACCCGCGGGUCAUUUGCUAGUUGGUGAGGUAAAGGGUCACAAAGGCCACGAUGCAGAGUGGAUCUGAGAGGGUGAUCGGCCACACUGGGACUUAGACACGGCCCAGACUCCUACGGGGUGCAGCAGUAGGGAAUCUUCGGCAAUGGACGAAAGUCUGACCGAGCAACGCCGCGUGAGUGAAGAAGGUUUUCGGAUCGUAAAACUCUGUUGUUAGAGAAGCGGUAUCUAACCAGAAAGCCACGGCUAACUACGUGCCAGCAGCCGCGGUAAUAC